UGCCAGCAGCCGCGGUAAUACGGAGGGGGUUAGCGUUGUUCGGAAUUACUGGGCGUAAAGCGCACGUAGGCGGAUUAGUAAGUUAGGGGUGAAAUCCCGGGGCUCAACCCCGGAACUGCCUUUAAUACUGCUAGUCUAGAGUUCGAGAGAGGUGAGUGGAAUUCCGAGUGUAGAGGUGAAAUUCGUAGAUAUUCGGAGGAACACCGAUGGCGAAGGCAUCUCUCUGGCUCGAUACUGACGCUGAGGUGCGAAAGCGUGGGGAGCAAACAGGAUUAGAUA
rnacentral:rRNA from 1 species